GGAUUUCCAGCGCCCCUCGAGCCGGGAGGAGGCGCAGCAGCUGCUGGAGCUGGAGCGGCUGCGCGUGGAGCAGGCCAUGGAGCGGCAGCAGAGGGAGAUGCUGGAGGACCAGCGGUGGCUCCAGCAGGAGGUCCAGAGCCUGGAUCCCAAAGUGUUCCUGAACAACAACAUUCCCCCGCUCCUCCCGGAGAAGGAGACGGAUUACACGCAAUUCACGGGGCCGCCCCAGAAGCCUCCGAGACUCGGGGCUCAG